ACAAUAAAUAAAUUAAAGAUUAAUAUAUGGAUUGCAGAUGUUAUUGUACUAUUGAUUUUAUAUUUAUUACAUAUAUAUUCUGAGUCCAACAUGACUAAAAGAGAACUCAACAUCUUCUCUCUUGCCUUCUCUCAUAUUUCUUCACCCUUUUAAAGUAUGCUCUAUUAUGAUUCCAGUUAUCAAGGUUUUACAAGUUGGGUAUCAUCUAUAAUUCUUCUUUCUUCUUCCUCUUUCCUUAGUAUUAUCUCCCAGGGAUGUGCUAUAGGAACCCUAUUUUCUCUUUCUACAUCCUCCAUUGGUUAUCUCAUCAGUUCUCAUGGAUUUAACAAAUAACAUGUGUGUGUGUGUGUGUGUGUAUAUGUGUUGUGUAUAUCUCCAAAAUAUAUUUACUGAUUUCUGAAUUGCUACCUACAUUUGAAUGUCUUACCAAUACUUAAAUGUCAACCUAUCCAAAAUGGAAAUGAAUAUUUGACUCUUAUAAAUCUACUUCUUCUACAAAAUUCUCUAUUUCAAAUUCUACUAAUGAGGGUGUCACAAUCCUGCCUUAGAGCCAGACUUGACUUUUCUCUUUUUUCACUUUCCACAUCCAAUCAGCUAUCAAGUCUUGUGUAUUAUGCCCCCCAUAAUAUCUCUUAAAUUUGUCCCCUUCCCUUUAUUAAUAUAUCCACCAACUUGGUUCAUGUACUCAUAUUUUCUAGGACCAUUUUAAUACAGUCCUAAAUGGUUUCCUGGCUGACAGUGUCUUCCUUAUCUUAUUCACUUCCCAUGAAGUUACUGAAAUAAUUUUCAUAAGAAAGAGUUCUCAACAUGUCAUACCUAUGAUUAGAAAGAAGCCUUCAUUAGUUCCACAUUUCCUUUAGGAUAAAAUGCAAACUCUUCAGCUGACCUUUUAAAUCCUUCCAAAUACAGGUCCCAAGUUACCUUUUUAGGCUUAAUUUGUAUUAUUUUCCUUCAUAUAUACUACAUUCCCAUCAUACAGCAUGACAAUGUAUUCUCUGUACCUCAAAUUCCUCUACAAGCUAUUUAUGUUUACAUGUUAUCCUUCAUUCCUAAAAUGAACAUGAUCUUCUUAUCUGAAUCUUUAAUUUCAUUCAAAGUUCAAGUCAGCCGCCAAUUCCUCUAUUCAUCCUUUCUAAUUAAAAAAAUGUUUGCUGAAUUUAAGUAUAUUACUUGGCUAAGUUCAUAUAAUUCAGUAGUGAUAAAGUCCUAAACUAGAACUUAUAUCAAGUGAUUUACACAUAUUAAAUGUUUUGAGUCCAUAAUUUCUUUUUUCCCCAAUCAUAUUUUAUUUUUUUGAAUACAUGUAAAAAUAUUUUUCAACAUUCAUUUUUUUAAGAUUUUGUAUUCCAAAUUAUUUUCUCCUUCCUUCCCUUACCAAUCCCCUCCCCAAAAAAGCAUGCAAUCUGAUGAAGAUCAUACAGAUACUGUAAUGUUAAAGGUCACUUUUAAUGGGGUGACCAAUUCCUCUAUUUAUCCUAUUUCCUAUUCUGCCUUAAGGUUAUGACCAUCCCCUCUUAAUGGUUGAGAUAAAGGUGUUAUAGACAUUCCUUAAUGUCAUUAGAAUAUCAGUAACCUCCAUCUAUGAGGCUAUCCCCACCUAGGUAUCUGCAUUAUGUCAUUGUUAAUGUUAUUCCAUAAAAGGCUUACUGUCCCGAUACUCUGGCUAGACCCUUUGAGAUGAUAGUCUCCUCUAGCCCUAGUAUCCAUUGGUCCCAGUAUUUCUCUCCAUUUAAUAAAUUAUUGAAUUGGUCUCUAAUCUCUGUCUUGCUCAGUUUCUUUUGACAUUACAGUACAAUCAUUUUAAACAUAUUUAAACAUAAACAUACUUCCAGCUUUGUCAUGUUAUACAAGAAAAAUCAGAUCAAAAGAAAAAACACAUGAGAAGGAAAAAGAAAACAAAACAAAAAAGAUGAAAAUAAUAUGCUUUGAUCUGUAUUCAGUCUCCAUAGUUCCCUCUUUGGAUGCAGAUGUCAUUUUCCAUUUCAUGUUUAUUAGAAUUGUCUUGAAUCAUUGCACUGUGGAGAAGAGCUAAAUCUAUUAUAGUUAAUCAUCACAUAAUCUUGCUCUUACUGUAUACGGUGUUCUCCUGGUCCUGUUCACUUCACUCAGCAUCAGUUCAUGUUAAGUCUUUAUGGGUGUUUCUGAAAUCAGUCUAUUCAUCAUUUCUUAUAGAAUUAUACCAAUCCAUUGCAUUCAUAUACCAUAAUAUAGUCAGCUAUUCCCAAUUGAUGGGCAUCCAUUCAAUUUCCAAUUCCUUGCCAUUUCAAAAAGAGUUGCCACAAAAAUUUUUGCACAUUGCACUUUAUUUUUUCAAAGCCUUUUUCAAGAUCAACUU
ensembl:lncRNA